CAAGCUGAGCUUGCUUGAUGGAGGGGAGCGGCAGACGGGUGAGUAACGCGUGGGAAUGUACCCUUUGCUACGGAAUAGCUCCGGGAAACUGGAAUUAAUACCGUAUGUGCCCUUCGGGGGAAAGAUUUAUCGGCAAAGGAUCAGCCCGCGUUGGAUUAGCUAGUUGGUGGGGUAAUGGCCUACCAAGGCGACGAUCCAUAGCUGGUCUGAGAGGAUGAUCAGCCACACUGGGACUGAGACACGGCCCAGACUCC
rnacentral:rRNA from 1 species